rnacentral:piRNA from 1 species
UCUGAGUGCCCCCCAAACCCAGCAGUCAU